CUUGCAGCUGUUGUGUCCAUGUUGCUCAGACAAAGAAAUGUUGACCGUCCCUCCUAGUGUGUAUCCAGAUAGCCAUCAUGGUGUAUUGUCUGUUUUUACAUUACACUCUCUCCAGAGUCUUCAAGGAUCAGUGAUGUUGGGUGAAAGAGGGGAGGUACGGUCGAAGGUCGGAAAGAGUGGCACACUUCCGCCACUGCAGCCGGAGACCACCCCAGCAGAGGGACCCGCCGCUACCCCCGGACCAGCAGGGCUACCUGAUUCUCCUCCUGAAAGCGGUCUCCCACAGUAAUCUGAGUUGGGCGAAUAUCAUUUUUGGCCAUACGCUUCCUGGCUGUCCUCCAAACCUGGUCAGUCCUUCGGCCCUGCCUCCUCAUCACCCUCCGAACCUGCUCAGCCCUUUGGUCCUGUUUCUUGGUUGUCCUCCAAACCUGGUCAGCCAUUCCGUCCUGCACCCUGAUUGUCUUCCAGACGUACUCAGUGAUUCAGCCCUGUCUUGUAGUCACUCUCCGGACCUGCUCUGCCCAUCUGUUAUGUCCCCAGGCCUUCUGCCUGAGUUCUCCAGCUCUGCUACAGUCCUGCCCCUAGGCCAUCCUCCUGAGAUUUCCUGCUCCACCCCUGACCAGCUGUCUCACUGUCCACCUGGGAGCACAAGCUCCUCUCUUCAGCUCCCUUGACAUUUGCUCUUUAUGUAUUUGC